UCUUGGCCAUGAAAAUUUUCAACUGAUGCACUAAAUUCUGAGAUAGUUACACAUUUAAAUGCAGUAUGACCACAUUUCUCAUAAAAUAAUGCAUUUAAAAUUAAUAGGCAAUAUUUGCAUUUUAUAGGUGUGUCAGAUAUGUUUUCUCUAUUUUGGUGUGCUCUGCAAUUUUAUAUAGCCCCAUUUCAGGUGGCCAUUGUGAGCUACAAGUGUUUCCAUCCUGUACGUAAGACCAGUUUUGCCUUACACACAGGGACACUGCUGCUUUAUGUAACUUCUGCUCUGUACCCUAAAUGUAGCAGUAAAGCUUGGGUAGCUUAAUGCAGCACACACGGAGAGGAUGCAGUUGGAAAGGAGAAGAGUUCCGGGGAAGUUCAGGGGCACGCACUGGUAGCAUUUGAGACCCAGAAUGGUGACAGAUUGAUGGCCUGCCCAAGGGGAGAGGGAAGAGGUGGAUGCAAAGGGGUGCAAGGCAGCACCGGCUGCCAUAAGCCAGCAUGAUGACCCGGUGUGCAUUUGUUGAAGUGAGAGAGGGAAAAGAAGAAUCUCUUUUCCUCUUCUUCCCCCCUCAGCGUGUGGUCUGGUCCGGACCAUAGUCCUGUGCUAUAUGGCAGAUGUAUAGCAGGACACUUGGAGGCAGGCACAUGGAAUCUUUCAGGGUGCUUUGGGGCUGGGAGGGUGCUCCGGUGCUGGGUGACACAGCAAACCUCCGAGACUUUGUAGUGUCAAAUAUUAUUGUGAACGGGUGGCCCAGGGAUGGCAAUAAUGGAAGAAGAUGCCUUUGGGUGGGAGGUGUACAGGCAGGAAGCAACAGAAAUCUUACUCCAAGUGUAAGACAAGUGACUUACCUAGAUACAGCAAGCAGCUAAAAAAACCAAAUCCAAACCCCAAGCAAUUUUGUCACGCUCAUCAUCAGGAUAAGUAGUGGUCUCAGCACACCAGGUGCCUCAGCACCGUCAGUGCUUGUGGAGGCAACAGACCAAAGCAUAAAUGUGUUCGUGCAAGGGAAUUGGGAGGCCAGAACCUGAGUCUUCCAAAGCCCCAGGUUGAUGUUCUGCCUUGCUAAGCAAGCCUGCUGGCUUGGUGACGCCAUCUGCAUCUACCCACUGCCCCUGCGUAACGCCGGCGGUACCCCUGGGAGCAGCUGCUGUCAGACCUGAACUCGCCCUUCAGUGAAGCGCUGAACAGGUGCACCUAGGAUUUCCGAGUAAGGCAUGCUCAUCUUUAAAAUAAUAUUCUUCUGAGGUUAGGCACUUUCCUUCGCUUAUGUGAGAAAUCAUCUCUCAGUACCACGAGGGGAAGUUGAGGGAGGGGAAGGCAGGCAUCUCGGAACGGGACUUUUUAAGUCCCGCUACGUGCAGUUGUGCUGGGAAGCCUGAGGGGUUUUUGUCUCAGCUCUCAGCGUUGGGGUGUGUGUCACUGAUGGGCCUGUGUGAGACCAGAGCUGUCCCCACCCCUGUCACCUUGUGGCUUCAGAAGUUGUGUUCCACCUCCAGAGGAGAUGGGACCAUGUGCUGUGUCGCCAGCAUAUGUGAGAGAAAUGAACAGUCCAGACGAACUGAAAUAAUAACCCUCUGGAGGGUGUCCGCUCCUUCUGGGUUGGAUCAGUCUCUCAGGGGGUCCUUCCCCACCGGCUCCCCAGUGCGUUUCAGGUGAAGAUCCAAAGAUCUUAGCUUCUAUUGAUAUUUAAUUGCUCAUCUCUAUCAGCAGGGUAGUUUGCCAUAAGCCAUAUCAAUCCAGUCACAAAGGCAAACAAACUAACAAUCACUUGAGUCCUUUAUAUAUUGGCAGGCAAAGCAAGACCUCGCCUCUUCUCCAUUCUGUAUACAUAUCAUUUUUCUGCACCCUUCAAACCCAGGAAUUCGAUAGCCAAGACCAACAUUUCUGUCAGUAAACCCAGUGUGUAGAUCUGCUCCUUUCCUGAAUAUUCAAACAUGCGGCCACAUCAGCACUGCUCAUUUGGAUGCUGACAAGGGUCAUAAUUUUAUUCUUUAUCUCCCACUUCACCUGCUUCUGAGUGCCAAAGUAAGGGAGGAAACAGCAUACCGAGGAGCUCGGUGGUGUUGAUGACAACCUUACAAUGCUGGACUGUUCAUCAGGGUGUCAUGGGAGGAUGAGGAGGAGCAAGAAGCACAGCGGAGCGUCCCUGCCCUGCAGCCCUGGCUGGCCGAUGGGCUGGUCGUGCCAGUGGUGGCGGGAGGGAGACGCGGCACAAAGCCGAAGGGCAGAAUUUUCCAUGCCAGGCAACACAACCCCCCAAGACAUUGUUUUCCGGUACAUGAGCAGAAGCUUUUGGAUGCUGCAGAAGAGUUCCCCUCUGUCUCAUAUGAAGCUGCUGUAAAGGAUUUGCCAAUGCCUUGAUGUUCUCCCACCCAAAGGGAAUUAAUUGCCAAGAUGGAAUGAAGAGCACAGCACAGAGAGCAGGCAUGGUCCAGAUCUCACAGGACUAAUUAUGCUUUUAAAGGGACUGAACUGCUAACCACAGGAGCUGCUCCGGAAAAGCCUGCAGGAGGUGGGCUGGCUCAGGGACCCCUCACCCUCCCCAGUACUGGCUCUUCACGUUUUCUUCCUACGCUUUCCCAACAGCAACUUACUUUUUUCAAACUCUUCCUGGAGAAUCAGCAAAUGAGAAUGUAUCAUCACAACACUGAAUUAAGGGCCAAGGAAAAUACUGUUGGUAAGAAGCUGGAUACACUGAAGAUAUUAAAGGCUGAUGGACCAGAACCUCUGGCAUCCAUACCUGUGACAAAUGAAAAAGACUCAACUCCUGCAAAGACAAGCUGUGACAACUGCCGGGUGUCAACUGCAAACUUAGUGAUGAUUCACCACACCAAGGCCGAGACGUGUAUCCCUGUACCAUGGUUUUAAGAACGGGAGCUACAUCUGAACGCCAGAGCCCUCUGCUCAGUACCAUCGGACAAGAGAAGGGAUUUAAGAGCAACAUCAGGCUCUCUCCUGUGCUGAAGGCUUGAUGAGCCCAACGGCUUCCCCAGCACAAGUGGCGAGGCUAGGUGCAGAGAGAGGGGAACCUGGAAUUGUUGUGGGAGAUGGGAGCGUACAGUCUGACACACCACACAGUAUGCUUUCAGGGCAGCUCCCCUCUAUGGAACUAGGUGGCUUAUCCUACAUCCACAGGUAUUUCUUGCCAAUACAACUCAGAACACGGCACAGUCAGACCUUCAGUGCGUAUCUUUUAUGCAGGAACGUAUCGUGUGGGAUCCAGCUGUAUGCAGCUCAUCAGGAACACCCUCAGCUGUGCUCUUAAACACACUUCAGACAUGACAUAUUUAAAUACUUGUACAUUUGUGUGCCAAUCAGAUUUAGAGUAGCAAUGUGAUUUCUAACUUUAGAUGUAGCAGUGUGACUUCUAUCGAGACAAUGAGCAUGUCCUACAGUAGGUAAGAAGAAAAAGGUUAAAGAGUAUCAGUUUGAUAUAUGUGGUACUAAUAAAUACACCUGGCCAGCAAAUGAAACCACCCAUCGAUUAAAUCUUGGGUUGUUUGGUUUCUUUCAAAAUGUUAUACAUUUGGGUUAGAGUUACACGUUUCUAUACAGUAAGUGUUACAUACAUCUGGGUGAGAGCCCAAGAGCUGGCAGCGCAGCUCCCCAGCUGUGUUUGCAUGAGGAGGACAAGGCGUUUAGUGUACCAUUGAUGGUAAAAGGACCAUGGUUUAUGAGACGUUGUCAGAAUAUGAUUUAACAUCUUUUGACAAAGGAGACACUACUGAAAUGCUUUAGAUGUGGUACUGUGCAUCCUCUGAACUUGCUGCCUUGCAAUUAAGACAGCAAAAAGCAAACUGUGGAUUGU